rnacentral:lncRNA from 1 species
GCAGGUCUGAGAUGAAAGGCACUCUCUGGAGGCCAGGACCUUGCUGGCAGUUUAGAACCAAAAGACAGUUUCGGAGUUCUUGGAGACUAGCAUUGCUAUGCAUGGGAGGUAUGACUUCCUCCGGAAAAAAACCCUUGCCGUGUGGUAAGUGCUUGUUUCAG